rnacentral:rRNA from 2 species
GCACAAGCGGUGGAGCAUGUGGUUUAAUUCGAAGCAACGCGAAGAACCUUACCAGGUCUUGACAUCCUUUUGAAUGGUCUAGAGAUAGAUCAGGCCUUCGGGACAGAAGAGACAGGUGGUGCAUGGUUGUCGUCAGCUCGUGUCGUGAGAUGUUAGGUUAAGUCCCGCAACGAGCGCAACCCCUACGUUUAGUUGCUAACGCGUGAAGGCGAGCACUCUAGACGAACUGCCGUUGACAAAACGGAGGAAGGUGGGGAUGACGUCAAAUCAUCAUGCCCCUUAUGUUCUGGGCUACACACGUGCUACAAUGGCCGGUACAGACGGACGCAAAGCCGCGAGGUGGAGCAAAUCCUAAAAAGCCGGUCUCAGUUCGGAUUGCAGGCUGCAAUUCGCCUGCAUGAAGUCGGAACCGCUAGUAAUCGCAGGUCAGCAUACUGCGGUGAAUACGUUCCCGGGCCUU